rnacentral:rRNA from 1 species
GACGAACGCUGGCGGCGUGCUUAACACAUGCAAGUCGAGCGGUAAGGCCCUUUCGGGGGUACACGAGCGGCGAACGGGUGAGUAACACGUGGGUGACCUGCCCUCAGCUCUGGGAUAAGCCUGGGAAACCGGGUCUAAUACUGGAUAUGACUCCAUGACGCAUGUUGUGGGGUGGAAAGCCUUGUGCGGCUGAGGAUGGGCCCGCGGCCUAUCAGCUUGUUGGUGGGGUGANGGCCUAUCAAGGCGACGACGGGUAGCCGGCCUGAGAGGGCGACCGGCCACACUGGGACUGAGACACGGCCCAGACUCCUACGGGAGGCAGCAGUGGGGAAUCUUGCGCAAUGGGCGAAAGCCUGACGCAGC